UUUCCGUAGGUGAACCUGCGGAAGGAUCAUUAUUGAAUGAAACACUUCUGGCUUUAUGUUGUUGUGCUGGCCCUUUGGGCAAUGUGCACACGGCUCUGGUCACUUGUUUCUUCUGUUCCACCUGUGCACUGCCUGUAGACACGCUGUGUCUAUGAUAUUUGUUAACACACAACAAUGUUAGUUGGCAUGUUAUAUAUAAUAAUAAAAUAUACAACUUUCAACAACGGAUCUCUUGGCUCUC
rnacentral:misc_RNA from 1 species